GGUAGCCGGACUGAGAGGUUGAACGGCCACAUUGGGACUGAGACACGGCCCAGACUCCUACGGGAGGCAGCAGUGGGGAAUAUUGCACAAUGGAGGAAACUCUGAUGCAGCGAUGCCGCGUGAGGGAAGAAGGUUUUCGGAUUGUAAACUCCUGUUGUUGAGGAAGAUAAUGACGGUACUCAACAAGGAAGUGACGGCUAACUACGUGCCAGCAGCCGCGGUAAAACGUAGGUCACAAGCGUUGUCCGGAAUUACUGGGUGUAAAGGGAGCGCAGGCGGGAAGACAAGUUGGAAGUGAAAUCCAUGGGCUCAACCCAUGAACUGCUUUCAAAACUGUUUUUCUUGAGUAGUGCGAGGUAGGCGGAAUUCCCGGUGUAGCGGUGGAAUGCGUAGAUAUCGGGAGGAACACCAGUGGCGAAGGCGGCCUACUGGGCACCAACUGACGCUGAGGCUCGAAAGUGUGGGUAGCAAACAGGAUUAGAUACCCUGGUAGUCCACACUGUAAACGAUGAUUACUAGGUGUUGGAGGAUUGACCCCUUCAGUGCCGCAGUUAACACAAUAAGUAAUCCACCUGGGGAGUACGACCGCAAGGUUGAAACUCAAAGGAAUUGACGGGGGCCCGCACAAGCAGUGGAGUAUGUGGUUUAAUUCGACGCAACGCGAAGAACCUUACCAAGUCUUGACAUCCUGCGACGGUUCUGGAAACAGAACUUUCCUUCGGGACGCAGAGACAGGUGGUGCAUGGUUGUCGUCAGCUCGUGUCGUGAGAUGUUGGGUUAAGUCCCGCAACGAGCGCAACCCUUAUGGUCAGUUACUACGCAAGAGGACUCUGGCCAGACUGCCGUUGACAAAACGGAGGAAGGUGGGGAUGACGUCAAAUCAUCAUGCCCUUUAUGACUUGGGCUACACACGUACUACAAUGGCGUUAAACAAAGAGAAGCAAGACCGCGAGGUGGAGCAAAACUCAGAAACAACGUCCCAGUUCGGACUGCAGGCUGCAACUCGCCUGCACGAAGUCGGAAUUGCUAGUAAUCGCAGAUCAGCAUGCUGCGGUGAAUACGUUCCCGGGCCUUGUACACACCGCCCGUCACACCAUGAGAGCCGGGGGGACCCGAAGUCGGUAGUCUAACCGCAAGGAGGACGCCGCCGAAGGUAAAACUGGUGAUUGGGGUGAAGUCGUAACAAGGUAGCCGUAGGAGUACCUGCGGCUG
rnacentral:rRNA from 1 species